CAGCCGCCACGGUAAUACGGAGGGUGCAAGCGUUAAUCGGAAUUACUGGGCGUAAAGCGCACGCAGGCGGUUUGUUAAGUCAGAUGUGAAAUCCCCGAGCUUAACUUGGGAACUGCAUUUGAAACUGGCAAGCUAGAGUCUUGUAGAGGGGGGUAGAAUUCCAGGUGUAGCGGUGAAAUGCGUAGAGAUCUGGAGGAAUACCGGUGGCGAAGGCGGCCCCCUGGACAAAGACUGACGCUCAGGUGCGAAAGCGUGGGGAGCAAACAGGAUUAGAGACCCCUGUAGUCCCUGUCUCUUAUAC
rnacentral:rRNA from 1 species